rfam:Dictyocaulus viviparus strain HannoverDv2000 D_viviparus-1.0_Cont1.59, whole genome shotgun sequence.
UGGCUAUGAUGAAACAGUUCCCAUUCGCAGUUUCCACUGAAUUUUCAUGAAGCUUAAAUCCUUCCUUGGAUGUCUGAGCCA